rnacentral:rRNA from 1 species
CCUACGGGGGGCAGCAGUGGGGAAUAUUGCACAAUGGGGGAAACCCUGAUGCAGCAACGCCGCGUGAGUGAAGAAGGUUUUCGGAUUGUAAAGCUCUGUUAGCAGGGAAGAAAGAAAUGACGGUACCUGAGUAAGAAGCCCCGGCUAACUACGUGCCAGCAGCCGCGGUAAUACGUAGGGGGCAAGCGUUAUCCGGAAUUACUGGGUGUAAAGGGAGCGUAGACGGUAAUGCAAGUCUGGAGUGAAAGGCGGGGGCCAAACCCCCGGACUGCUCUGGAAACUGGGUAACUGGAGUGCAGGAGAGGCAGGCGGAAUUCCUAGUGUAGCGGUGAAAUGCGUAGAUAUUAGGAGGAACACCAGUGGCGAAGGCGGCCUGCUGGACUGUAACUGACGUUGAGGCUCGAAAGCGUGGGGAGCAAACAGGAUUAGAUACCCCAGUAGUC